AUGCACCCGAUGGAGAAGACCCCCACAAACACCAAUACCAUCAACAAAACGGAGCUGCAACACGAUCACAGCGGGAACUCGUCGGCCGCCCCAACGGUGAUCGCCGUCGAGGUCGAUCCGGAUGCUCUCGGCUGCCCCACAUGCCUUCAGCCCCUUGUACCUCCAGUGUUCCAGUGCGCGGCUGGACAUCUGGUUUGUUCCACCUGCCAUGGCAACCUCUCGGACAAGAACAAGUGUACCUCCUGUUUCAUCAAAACGGGCUUCAGCCGUUGUUUCGUCCCCACGAGCUACAGCCGCUGCCACGGCGUCGACCGCAUCCUGCAAUCCGUCCGAGUCGCCUGCCCAUACCGCUGCAGUGCAGUCAAGACGUUCUACCACGAUAAGGAGGAGCAUGAGAGGACCUGUCCCGGCAAAGCCGGCGCCGUGCGCAAGCGGGGACGGGUCCUGAAGAUGGGCCCCUGCGGCGGCGGCGGCGGAGACGUCUGGGAGAUGGACUUGCGGGGUGUUAACCGUAUCGUCAAGGUGGUUCUCUGGCACUCCGGCGCGGUCGACGCCAUCUUGGUGUUAUACGAGCGGGAUGGCCGGGAGGAGCAGACCAAGCACUGGGGAAAGCUCGAAGGACAUCGUUCAGAGAUCUGCCUGGAGCCGGGUGAAUACCUCGUCGGCGUCAAAGGGAACCUGGGCAAUUUCGGUGGUUGUUUCCUCUUGGGAACGCUUACUUUCAUCAGCAACCUGCGCACCUUUGGGCCAUAUGGAACGAGGGAAGGUCCGCCAUUCGACCUUCCAGCAGCUGGCGGCAAGAUUGUUGGCUUCCAUGGCCGCUCCGGGGGCCUCCUCGAUGCUCUGGGCACUUACGUAAAGAUGGACGACUAG
rnacentral:rRNA from 1 species